CAGCCGCCGCGGUAAUACGAAGGGUGCAAGCGUUAAUCGGAGUUACUGGGCGUAAAGCGUGCGUAGGCGGUUUGUUAAGUCUGUUGUGAAAUCCCCGGGCUCAACCUGGGAAUGGCAAUGGAUACUGGCAAGCUAGAGUGUGUCAGAGGAUGGUGGAAUUCCCGGUGUAGCGGUGAAAUGCGUAGAGAUCGGGAGGAACAUCAGUGGCGAAGGCGGCCAUCUGGGACAACACUGACGCUGAGGCACGAAAGCGUGGGGAGCAAACAGGAUUAGAUACCCCUGUAGUCCCUGUCUCUUAUAA
rnacentral:rRNA from 1 species